GACGCUUUGGCCGAGUGGUCUAAGGCGCGUGACUAGAAUCUUGUCCUGUUCAAGGACAACAGCUAAUCACGUCCGUUCGCGGGCGUCGGUUCAAAUCCGACAGGCGUCG
rnacentral:tRNA from 1 species